AUGAACGCUGGCGGCGUGCUUAACCCAUGCAAGUCGCACGGUGAAGGCGGAGCUUGCUCUGCUGGAUCAGUGGCGAACGGGUGAGUAACACGUGAGCAAUCUGCCCCUGACUCUGGGAUAAGCGCUGGAAACGGCGUCUAAUACUGGAUACGAGCUGCGAAGGCAUCUUCAGCAGCUGGAAAGAACUUCGGUCAGGGAUGAGCUCGCGGCCUAUCAGCUUGUUGGUGAGGUAACGGCUCACCAAGGCGUCGACGGGUAGCCGGCCUGAGAGGGUGACCGGCCACACUGGGACUGAGACACGGCCCAGACUCCUACGGGAGGCAGCAGUGGGGAAUAUUGCACAAUGGGCGAAAGCCUGAUGCAGCAACGCCGCGUGAGGGACGACGGCCUUCGGGUUGUAAACCUCUUUUAGCAGGGAAGAAGCGAAAGUGACGGUACCUGCAGAAAAAGCGCCGGCUAACUACGUG
rnacentral:rRNA from 1 species